UACGUAGGGUGCGAGCGUUGCCCGGAUUUAUUGGGCGUAAAGAGCUCGUAGGCGGUGUGUCGCGUCGGCCGUGAAAACCUGCAGCUUAACUGUGGGCUUGCGGUCGAUACGGGCAUCACUGGAGUUCGGCGGGGGAGACUGGAAUUCCUGGUGUAGCGGUGAAAUGCGUAGAGAUCGGAAAGAACACCAACGGCGAAAGCACUCUGCUGGGCCGACACUGACGCUGAGAGACGAAAGCUAGGGGAGCAAAUGGG
rnacentral:rRNA from 1 species